AUUGAUAGCUAUUACUUUGUGAGGAGCAAGGAGGGAAAGAUCUUGGCUGCUAUUACAACUAUUAUACGUAUCAACAAUAGCUUCCGCAGGUAUGAAUUCGUUUUAUUAAUUUAUUGUAUUGUGAUUCUUAAUUCUUAGCAUGCAAUUAAAUUUCAACAAGUGGUAUCAGAGCUUUCAUGCUGAGAUUAAAAUCCGUCAUUAAAACAAUAAUUUUUGUCUAACUGAAUAAUUCUUAAGUUUCUGCUACCAGUCAAUUUAAAUCUUUGAAAUUGUUAUGUUUUCAAAAUUCUGAAGUCAAAAAAAAAAAAAAAAAAAAAAAUUAAUAAUAAUAAUAAUAUAAUUAAAAUGUUGCGUUAAUGUUUCCACGUUUUCUGUGCAUAUAUUGUAUACAUAUACAAACUGCAAAUGAAUAUUGUAUGGGGAAGAUGACAAAAUUUGGGAUUUUCAUAAACCACAAAAAAGAAACGGCAUUUGGCUGUGCAAUUGCUUUAUCAUGAUUUUGUAAUUGCUUUGUCGUAAUUUUGUUUAAAUAAAAAAAAAAAAUUCUGCAAAACUUAUGUAGGUUUGUAUACCUCUGUACAACAUAGAAUUUCAUUAUUCGUAGAUUAUUAGGUCCGAAGUCGCCACUUGCACUGACGUGCCGCACAAGGCUGCCGACGGCGAGAAGGAAGAAGCGUGGCCGGAUCCACCGCCGCCGCCGUAAAAUUUUUCCAUAGUCAUAGGGUUUUCAGUAGACAUAUGGGUGUUUUGGUGAUGGGGGCUUCUAUUGCAAAUAGUCUAGUUUUAAGCCCCUGUUUGCAAUUAGAAAUUGAAGUUAUGUUGCAACUUAUAAAUAAAAAAAAAGGAGGACUUGUCACGCAAUUUUAAAUAUUGAAGGACCUGAUUUAAAAUUUUUUAUUUGGGUUAAAAUGUAAUUUUCAAUAAGGGGUUCUUAAUUUGAAUUUUUUAAAGUUUUGACCCUAAAAUUUUAAUUUUGACCCAGUUAAAAAUUUUAUUCAAUAAUUGACUCAAUUGAAAUAUAUUAAAUAAUACUAAUAAUUUCAUUGACGACUUUUGUAUUAUUUCAUGCAUUUAAAUUUUGUCAUUAUUUGCGCGCUUAAAUUUCAAUUUUUAUAUACUCAAAUAUUGAAAUUUGUUGUCCCGUUUUGUUUCCAAAUCACAUAUAAAUUUUGCCAUUUGUCGAUUAAUAAUUAUGAUUAUAAUUGUUGUUUUGCGAUUAAAUUUUCAUGGGCAUUGAAACGAUUCUUAUUUUCCCAAUAAGAGAAAUAUUUUGAAAUAAAAAUGGGUGGUAGCUGCCAAAGUGGCACACUCAUUAUUAUUUAUUCAAUUUUCUCUACAAUAAAAAUACAUAUAUUUUUGUCCAACAACUUUUGAUUUAUUGCAUAUAAUAUCUUGCCCAAAGGUGUUAUUAUAUGUAAUAUUUUUGGAAAAUGGCAUGAGAAAGUUAACAGCUUAUUUUGGUUUAGAAAUUUCCUUCUGCCUAAAGGUGUUGGAAUUUCGAAAAUCAAUGUAAUUUUGUUAACUUGCUACAUGAUGUGUUUUAAGAGUACCUUAUAGCAUGUUGUAUUGUCGACCCAAAAGUGACUUUAUGAUGAUGCAUCUAGGCUCUUACCGUAAUAAAAUUUAUAUGUAUCAAUUUAAAUUAUGGAUUAUCUAAUUAAUAGGUCAUAUUAAUUAGUUGGAUAUUUCAUCAUCCAUUUGAUUGCAUGCAUUAAGUUUGGAAGAUAUUAAGAGUGAUAUUUUAUGUUUCCACAGUUUAUAAUGGCUCAUCUCUUUCGAAUCAAUUGUCUGCUAUUGAAACUUUGACUUGGAAUAACUAUGUGAGAUGGAAACGAGACGUAGAAAUAACACUUGGUCUUUUGGGCUUGGAUUUUAUAAUGGAGAAAAAGCUUGAAAAACCCACAGAUAAGAGUACCGUUGAAUAUGUAGCCGAGCGUGAAAAGUGGGAAAGGGCUAACAAACUUUGUUUGAAAAUCAUUAAACGAUCGAUAUUUGAUUCCAUUCUAGGUGCCAUCCCUGAUAAUGAAAAUGCUAAAAGUUUUAUGGAUGCCAUAGGAGAAAAAUUUAUUGAGUCUGAUAAAGUAGAAACUGGGGAUCUGAUGGAUAAAUUUAUGAGCAUGAAAUAUGAUGGCACAAAUGGUGUUAGGGAGCAUGUCAUGAAAAUGAUAAAUAUAUCAUCUAAGUUAAAGGCUCUUGACAUUCCCAUUGCGGAGCCUUUCCUAGUCUAUCAUGUUUUGAAUAGCCUUCCUAGCAAGUUUAAUCAGCUUAAGGUUGCUUACAAUGCUCAGCGGGAUAAGUGGAAUUUGAAUGACCUCGUAGCAGUGUGUGCCCAAGAAGAGUAUAGAAUGCGUCGUGAAACUAUUGAAACUGUGCAAUUAGCUUUUCAGCCAUCACAGAAUAAGAGGCCUUCUCAUAAUCAUAAACCUAAAUUUCGUAAGAGUAACAAGUCUCAUCGAAGUCAACAAAAUAAUAAUUUUAGUGGUCCCAAAGUAGUUAUAAAGAAAAAUGAUCAAUGCAAGUUCUGUAAAAAGAAGGGUCACUAGCAGAAAGACUAUUUUAAGUUCAAGACUUGGUUGGAAAAGAAGAAGAGUUCUUCAGGUAUUCCCUUGGCCUUAGUUUGUUUUGAGUCUUCUUUAGUAGGUGUACCUUUGAAUUCUUGGUGGUUAGACUCGGGAGCUAGUAUUCAUAUUGCGAAUUUCUUGCAGGUGUUCAUAAGCAAACAGAGGCCAAGUGAGAAUGAAGUAAGCUUGAGCGUUGCAAAUGGAUUUCAAGUGAAGGUUAAAUUCAUAGGAGUAGUGAAGUUAACUUUAGAGUCUGGUUUUUAUCUUGUUUUGGAAAAUACAGUUUAUGUACCGCAGAUGAGACGAAAUUUAAUUUCUAUAUCAAAACUUGAUGCUUGUGGUUUUACAUUUAAUUUUGGUAAUGGAAU
rnacentral:lncRNA from 1 species